GAGAGGUGGGGGCAAGACAAAGCUUGGCUAGUGGUAGCUGGAUACAGGUGAGAGGGAGGGAGGGAAAUUG